rnacentral:rRNA from 1 species
CCUACGGGAGGCAGCAGUGGGGAAUCUUAGACAAUGGGCGCAAGCCUGAUCUAGCCAUGCCGCGUGAGUGAUGAAGGCCUUAGGGUCGUAAAGCUCUUUCGCCUGUGAUGAUAAUGACAGUAGCAGGUAAAGAAACCCCGGCUAACUCCGUGCCAGCAGCCGCGGUAAUACGGAGGGGGUUAGCGUUGUUCGGAAUUACUGGGCGUAAAGCGCACGUAGGCGGAUUGGAAAGUUGGGGGUGAAAUCCCGGGGCUCAACCCCGGAACUGCCUCCAAAACUAUCAGUCUAGAGUUCGAGAGAGGUGAGUGGAAUUCCAAGUGUAGAGGUGAAAUUCGUAGAUAUUUGGAGGAACACCAGUGGCGAAGGCGGCUCACUGGCUCGAUACUGACGCUGAGGUGCGAAAGUGUGGGGAGCAAACAGGAUUAGAUACCCUGGUAG